UAGGGAAUAUUGGGCAAUGGACGGAAGUCUGACCCAGCCAUGCCGCGUGCAGGAAGAAGGCGCUCAGCGUUGUAAACUGCUUUUAUCGGGGAAGAACGGCAGUCCUGCGGGAUUGUGUGACGGUACUCGAGGAAUAAGCACCGGCUAACUCCGUGCCAGCAGCCGCGGUAAUACGGAGGGUGCGAGCGUUGUCCGGAUUUAUUGGGCGUAAAGGGCGCGUAGGCGGGGAUGUUAGACAGAUGUGAAAGCCCAGGGCUCAACCCUGGAACAGCAUUUGAGACUGCAUCUCUGGAGGGUAGGCGGAGAAAACGGAAUUCCACGUGUAGCGGUGAAAUGCGUAGAUAUGUGGAAGAACACCGGUGGCGAAGGCGGUUUUCUAGCUUAUACCUGACGCUGAGGCGCGAAAGCAAGGGGAGCAAACA
rnacentral:rRNA from 1 species